rnacentral:rRNA from 1 species
GACGAACGCUGGCGGCAGGCCUAACACAUGCAAGUCGAGCGGAGCGGCGGACGGGCGAGUAAUGCCUAUGAAUCUGCCUGGUAGUGGGGGCUAACGUCCGGAAACGGGCGCUAAUACCGCAUACUCUCAGAUGAGCCUAGGUAGGAUUAGCUAGUUGGUGGGGUAAAGGCCUACCAAGGCGACGAUCCGUAACUGGUCUGAGAGGAUGAUCAGUCACACUGGAACUGAGACACGGUCCAGACUCCUACGGGAGGCAGCAGUGGGGAAUAUUGGACAAUGGGCGAAAGCCUGAUCCAGCCAUGCCGCGUGUGUGAAGAAGGUCUUCGGAUUGUAAAGCACUUUAAGUUGGGAGGCGUUACCAACAGAAGAAGCACCGGCUAACUUCGUGCCAGCAGCCGCGGUAAUAC